rnacentral:rRNA from 1 species
CUGGUACUGAGACACGGACCAGACUCCUACGGGAGGCAGCAGUGAGGAAUAUUGGUCAAUGGACGCAAGUCUGAACCAGCCAUGCCGCGUGCAGGAUGACGGCUCUAUGAGUUGUAAACUGCUUUUGUACGAGGGUAAACGCAGAUACGUGUAUCUGUCUGAAAGUAUCGUACGAAUAAGGAUCGGCUAACUCCGUGCCAGCAGCCGCGGUAAUACGGAGGAUUCAAGCGUUAUCCGGAUUUAUUGGGUUUAAAGGGUGCGUAGGCGGUUUGAUAAGUUAGAGGUGAAAUUUCGGGGCUCAACCCUGAACGUGCCUCUAAUACUGUUGAGCUAGAGAGUAGUUGCGGUAGGCGGAAUGUAUGGUGUAGCGGUGAAAUGCUUAGAGAUCAUACAGAACACCGAUUGCGAAGGCAGCUUACCAAACUAUAUCUGACGUUGAGGCACGAAAGCGUGGGGAGCAAACAGGAUUAGAUACCCUGGUAGUCCACGCAGUAAACGAUGAUAACUCGUUGUCGGCGAUACACAGUCGGUGACUAA